GUCCGAUUUCCCGUUUGUUUUGCUAGCGUCGACGGUGGUUGUAGUGCAGCUUUGGUGCGGUGCCCUCCGUGCUGCUUAGUGGGUCUGAUGACUGUUCACCUCACAGGCGUGAUUCCCUGUAUUCCCUUGUGUAACCGGUGGGCAUGACUGACCAAUCCGUGUUUAAGCGUGCUUUCUAGCGUGAUCUCCUGAUGGUAAGUGUUUAUACUUUACUAUGACUGGGAGUGGGGAUAGUAUUACGAUUGGUAACAUCUCCAUU